rnacentral:lncRNA from 1 species
AAACCAGCUAAGUCUAGGUUCAAUUUUAAUUAUUUUAAUUCAAUAUGCAGCCCCUAGAAUUUCCCCUCAAUGUCAAGGAUCAAGCCGAAAAGAGUUGAUAUUUUAAACAAAAUAUAAAUAUGCUUCUACACUUGCAAGACUUUUGUGCAUCUUGUGCCUGUUUACACAUGAUCCUGAUACUUAGCAGGCAAUCAGAAGUUGCUCUGAAAUACUAAAAACUAUUCAUUCCCCUUAUUCUGUUGACCAUCCUGGCCACAGCUGAUAGAGUGAUGGAGAUUUCAACAUCACCCUCUCCUUUUCUCUUAUCAAUGGAUUUACACAAGUCAGUUUGUGCCAGUCUGGUCUCUACAAAU